UGUCUCUCUGUAAUCCAUCCUGGCUGCUCACUCACAUCCACAAAGUCCACAAAGUCCGACGGAACCCGUCUGUGAAAAAUGCUCGACUCAAACGAGGCCGCGCCAGCAUCAUGCCAGGUUAUCAAGCUGGAUUUUGACAAAUGUGUCAGAGGGAAGGGAGUGCAGGACUGCAAAGAUCUGCUAGAUGCCUUCCAUGUCUGUGUGAAAACCCUGUCUGAGGAAUCCUAGCACAUGAUGAAGUACAUCGAAAUGAAAGUGUGAGCUGCAGCUGAACGUGGGGAAUACAAAAGACAAGACCUGGAGGAACUGGGGGACAGACUGAGCCUGGUGCUGUCAGCGCGAGGGAAGGAGACAUUCAGGACCAAAUGAAAACUCCUCAUUCUGGCCUCAAAACCCACAACUGCAACUGAGAAACGCUGUCUGACCCUUCCUUCCAUUUUGGUAACACUUAACAUUACAGUACAGUAACAAUAUGGUAUAGUCAUCAAACUAUGAUUUAAACUUCAAGCACACAGUCCAUUUUAUUUUCUGUCCUGUUAUUAUGUUGUCUUCAGGACAAACAUGUGGCAAGAGGUCAGUAAAUAUAACCAAGCAUUAGUGAAAAUCACUUCUAAACACUAGAAACUAAGCACUAGGGUCCUGCGAGACAAGAACUUGUGAAUGUCAUGUAGUGCAGCCUGGGAAAUGAUUAUUCUGGACCAUAAUAAUAAAUUGUAAAGAUAAAUUAAACUGAGCACUGGCAUCUAGUGGGAAGUGCUGGUACUCAAAAUAGUACAAUUAACAGUGGCUGUCCUAUGAGCACUGCUAAAAGUAUAAUAUAAAUAAAUAUAUACAAAUGUGAAACAGAUGUGACUGAAUCAAUUAUACAUACAUAUUAACAAGAAUAUACAGUGAAUUAGAAUAAGUGAACUGGAUUUAACUUACAAUAUGUUUGCAUAUGCUAAUUGAAUGGAAUUAAUAAUAUGUAGGUAAUACAUCUUAUUUCCAUGGUAAUCACUACAUAAUGACCCAUCCAAAUCAAACCGUUAUUAAGUCAAAUUUCAAUGAGGAAUCACACAUAAAAAGUACUCCCUUAUCCACUGAAUGAUCAUAUUUAUUAACAUAAAAUCCGAGAUUCUAAACCAAAAUAAUGUGAUGAAGAAGACCACAAAAAUUCAGUUGCAUCUUAAAAAUCAGUCCCUAAAAUAUUACUCAAAUAGUUCCUAAAGUCAGGUUUUUUUUACUUA